AGUUUGAUCCUGGCUCAGGAUGAACGCUAGCUACAGGCUUAACACAUGCAAGUCGAGGGGCAGCAUUGGAGUAGCAAUACUUCAGAUGGCGACCGGCGCACGGGUGAGUAACACGUAUCCAACCUGCCGCUUACUCGGGGAUAGCCUUUCGAAAGAAAGAUUAAUACCCGAUGGUAUAAAGAGUUCGCAUGUUCUCUUUAUUAAAGAAUUUCGGUAAGCGAUGGGGAUGCGUUCCAUUAGAUUGUUGGCGGGGUAACGGCCCACCAAGUCUACGAUGGAUAGGGGUUCUGAGAGGAAGGUCCCCCACAUUGGAACUGAGACACGGUCCAAAUCCUACGGGAGGCAGCAGUGAGGAAUAUUGGUCAAUGGACGCGAGUCUGAACCAGCCAAGUAGCGUGAAGGAUGACUGCCCUAUGGGUUGUAAACUUCUUUUAUAAGGGAAUAAAGUGAGGGACGUGUCCCUUUUUGUAUGUACCUUAUGAAUAAGGAUCGGCUAACUCCGUGCCAGCAGCCGCGGUAAUACGGAGGAUCCAAGCGUUAUCCGGAUUUAUUGGGUUUAAAGGGAGCGUAGGUUGACAUAUAAGUCAGCUGUGAAAGUUUACGGCUCAACCGUGAAAUUGCAGUUGAUACUGUAUGUCUUGAGUGUACAAGAGGUGGGCGGAAUUCGUGGUGUAGCGGUGAAAUGCUUAGAUAUCACGAAGAACUCCAAUUGCGAAGGCAGCUCACUGGGGUACAACUGACACUGAGGCUCGAAAGUGUGGGUAUCAAACAGGAUUAGAUACCCUGGUAGUCCACACAGUAAACGAUGAAUACUCGCUGUUUGCGAUAUACAGUAAGCGGCCAAGCGAAAGCAUUAAGUAUUCCACCUGGGGAGUACGCCGGCAACGGUGAAACUCAAAGGAAUUGACGGGGGCCCGCACAAGCGGAGGAACAUGUGGUUUAAUUCGAUGAUACGCGAGGAACCUUACCCGGGCUUGAAUUGCAGAGGAACAUAGUUGAAAGAUUAUGGCCGCAAGGUCUCUGUGAAGGUGCUGCAUGGUUGUCGUCAGCUCGUGCCGUGAGGUGUCGGCUUAAGUGCCAUAACGAGCGCAACCCUUAUCAUUAGUUACUAACAGGUCAUGCUGAGGACUCUAGUGAGACUGCCGUCGUAAGAUGUGAGGAAGGUGGA
rnacentral:rRNA from 1 species